rnacentral:rRNA from 1 species
GUGAGGAAUAUUGCGCAAUGGGGGAAACCCUGACGCAGCGACGCCGCGUGAGUGAUGAAGGCCUUCGGGUCGUAAAGCUCUGUUGCAGGGGAAUAAAAAAAUGAAGGUACCCUGUGAGGAAGGAUCGGCUAACUUCGUGCCAGCAGCCGCGGUAAGACGAGGGAUCCUAGCGUUGCUCGGAAUCAUUGGGCGUAAAGAGGGCGUAGGUGGCUUGGUAAGUCAGGUGUGAAAGCCCAGGGCUCAACCCUGGAAGUGCAUUUGAUACUGCUGAGCUUGAGUGUCGGAGAGGUUACCGGAAUACCUGGUGUAGUGGUGAAAUACGUAGAUAUCAGGUGGAACACCGGAGGCGAAGGCGGGUAACUGGACGAACACUGACACUGAGGCCCGAAAGCGUGGGGAUCAAACAGGAUUAGAUACCCGGGUAGUCC